AAUUAAUGAGCUUGUAUAAAGCAUAUAUUUUGAAAAUAUAAGAAAGGAAAACAUCCUAUUAAUUU
rnacentral:tRNA from 1 species